rnacentral:rRNA from 1 species
AUUGGGUUUAAAGGGUCCGUAGGUGGAUAAUUAAGUCAGAGGUGAAAUCUUGCAGCUCAACUGUAAAAUUGCCUUUGAUACUGGUUAUCUUGAGUUACUAUGAAGUAGUUAGAAUAUGUAGUGUAGCGGUGAAAUGCAUAGAUAUUACAUAGAAUACCAAUUGCGAAGGCAGAUUACUAAUAGUACACUGACACUGAUGGACGAAAGCGUGGGUAGCGAACGGGAUUAGAUACCCCGGUAGUCCACGCCGUAAACGAUGGUCACUAGCUGUUCGGACUUUUUGUCUGAGUGGCUAAGCGAAAGUGAUAAGUGACCCACCUGGGGAGUACGUUCGCAAGAAUGAAACUCAAAGGAAUUGACGGGGGCCCGCACAAGCGGUGGAGCAUGUGGUUUAAUUCGACGCAACGCGCAGAACCUUACCAACCCUUGACAUACUUGUCACGGAUUCCAGAGAUGGAUUCCUUCAGUUCGGCUGGACAAUGUACAGGUGCUGCAUGGCU